rnacentral:rRNA from 1 species
ACGGCAGCACGGGAGCAAUCCUGGUGGCGAGUGGCGAACGGGUGAGUAAUGUAUCGGAACGUACCUUUCAGUGGGGGAUAACGUAGCGAAAGUUACGCUAAUACCGCAUAUUCUGUGAGCAGGAAAGCAGGGGAUCGCAAGACCUUGCGCUGAUUGAGCGGCCGAUAUCAGAUUAGCUAGUUGGUGAGGUAAAGGCUCACCAAGGCGACGAUCUGUAGCGGGUCUGAGAGGAUGAUCCGCCACACUGGAACUGAGACACGGUCCAGACUCCUACGGGAGGCAGCAGUGGGGAAUUUUGGACAAUGGGGGCAACCCUGAUCCAGCCAUGCCGCGUGAGUGAAGAAGGCCUUCGGGUUGUAAAGCUCUUUCAGCCGGGAAGAAAUCACAUGGGUUAAUACCCUGUGUGGAUGACGGUACCGGAAUAAGAAGCACCGGCUAACUACGUGCCAGCAGCCGCGGUAAUACGUAGGGUGCGAGCGUUAAUCGGAAUUACUGGGCGUAAAGCGUGCGCAGGCGGUUUGUUAAGAUAGGCGUGAAAUCCCCGGGCUCAACCUGGGAACUGCGUUUAUGACUGGCAGGCUAGAGUAUGGCAGAGGGGGGUGGAAUUCCACGUGUAGCAGUGAAAUGCGUAGAGAUGUGGAGGAACACCGAUGGCGAAGGCAGCCCCCUGGGCCAAUACUGACGCUCAUGCACGAAAGCGUGGGUAGCAAACAGGAUUAGAUACCCUGGUAGUCCACGCCCUAAACGAUGUCAAC